rnacentral:tRNA from 1 species
AGCGCUGAUCGGCGCGGUGUGGGCGGUCCAGCCGUCCUCGGGCGACGGCCGGUUCGUCAGACGGUCCGAGUCCCGCCGGGCGCUG